GUGGGGAAUUUUGGACAAUGGGCGCAAUCCUGAUCCAGCAAUGCCGCGUGCAGGAAGAAGGCCUUCGGGUUGUAAACUGCUUUUGUACGGAACGAAACGGUCCGGGUUAAUACCCUGGGCUAAUGACGGUACCGUAAGAAUAAGCACCGGCUAACUACGUGCCAGCAGCCGCGGUAAUACGUAGGGUGCAAGCGUUAAUCGGAAUUACUGGGCGUAAAGCGUGCGCAGGCGGUUUUGUAAGACAGGCGUGAAAUCCCCGGGCUCAACCUGGGAAUUGCGCUUGUGACUGCAAGGCUGGAGUGCGGCAGAGGGGGAUGGAAUUCCGCGUGUAGCAGUGAAAUGCGUAGAUAUGCGGAGGAACACCGAUGGCGAAGGCAAUCCCCUGGGCCUGCACUGACGCUCAUGCACGAAAGCGUGGGGAGCAAACAGGAUUAGAUACCCUUGUAGUCC
rnacentral:rRNA from 1 species